rnacentral:rRNA from 1 species
UACAGAGGGGGCAAGCGUUAUUCGGAAUUAUUGGGCGUAAAGGGCGCGUAGGCGGCUUUGCAAGUGGCGGGUGAAAUCCCUCGGCUUAACCGAGGAACUGCCUGCCAGACUGUGAGGCUUGAGACCGGGAGAGGUGAGUGGAAUUCCCAGUGUAGCGGUGAAAUGCGCAGAUAUCAGGAGGAACACCGAUGGCGAAGGCAGCUCGCUGGGACGGUACUGACGCUGAGGCGCGAAAGCGUGGGGAGCAAACAGG